GUCACUAUUAAGGUUUUUGCAGAUAAAUUAUUUGGAACGUUUUUCUAACAGUAUUAAAUUAUUUGGAAAGUUUAUUGAAUCAAGGCCAUUGUUUUAUAUUUAUCAGAAACAUUUUUUUUUUCUUAAUACAAAUAUUCAUAACCUGGAGUUUUGAAUGUAAUAAGACCAUAUAAUAGAAUGCUGGUGGCUUAGAGAUGUAGAACUCCUUCAGUGUCUCAUCAUUUGGACAGAAAAACAGAGGUCCCCAGUAUAAAGUAAGGGUGUACGUUGAGGGGGUGUGAACAUGUCAUAAGGCAAUUGCAUAAGCCUAUAAAUACAUGUAUUUAGAAAACAACAAUGGCUAUAAACAGGUAUGACACCACUGAUGCAGUUACCCAUUGACAGCCAUACACAGGUCUGUCUUUUAACGCGUCCAGAAGCUGAUGGCCCAAUACAAAGCCCAUGGGUGACAUCAGAACUAAUUUUAGAUUAAGCAUCUCUGAGGGAUCUAUAGCCAGAAAAUCUUAAAAUGAUUAGUUGUUCAAACUCUCCACAUCUUCUUACAACAUGGUUUCAUAACACACUUUUAUCAUUGGACCAUGCCAUGCAAAUACGUUUUAUUUUGGGUUUUUAUUUAGUUAAUUUCAACAAAAACUGGAGGGUAGCAAGACCCUUCAUGCCCAUAAGGACUAUUAUAUACACACCCAAUCAGACAAGGCAUUAUGGUAACACUAUUACAGGGAGUGCAGAAUUAUUAGGCAAAUGAGUAUUUUGACCACAUCAUCCUCUUUAUGCAUGUUGUCUUACUCCAAGCUGUAUAGGCGCGAAAGCCUACUACCAAUUAAGCAUAUUAGGUGAUGUGCAUCUCUGUAAUGAGAAGGGGUGUGGUCUAAUGACAUCAACACCCUAUAUCAGGUGUGCAUAAUUAUUAGGCAACUUCCUUUCCUUUGGCAAAAUGGGUCAAAAGAAGGACUUGAC